rnacentral:rRNA from 1 species
AUACGUAGGGUGCAAGCGUUAAUCGGAAUUACUGGGCGCAAAGCGUGCGCAGGCGGUUUUGUAAGACAGAGGUGAAAUCCCCCGGCUCAACCUGGGAAAUGCCUUUGUGACUGCAAGGCUAGAGUACGGCAGAGGGGGAUGGAAUUUCGCGUGUAGCAGUGAAAAGCGUAGAUAUGCGGAGGAACACCGAUGGCGAAGGCAAUCCCCUGGGCCUGUACUGACGCUCAUGCACGAAAGCGUGGGGAGCAAACAGGAUUAGAUACCCUGGUAGUCCACGCCCUAAACGAUGUCAACUGGUUGUUGGGUCUUCAUUGACUCAGUAACGAAGCUAACGCGUGAAGUUGACCGCCUGGGGAGUACGGCCGCAAGGUUGAAACUCAAAUGAAUUGGCGGGG